rnacentral:rRNA from 1 species
UACGUAGGGUGCGAGCGUUGUCCGGAAUUAUUGGCGUAAAGGGCGCGUAGGCGGUGCCACAAGUCACCUGUGAAAUCUCCGGGCUUAACUCGGACCUGCAGGCGAAACUGUGGUGCUGGAGUGUGAGAGAGGUGAGUGGAAUUCCAGUGUAGAGGUGAAAUUCGUAGAUAUUGGGAAGAACACCGGUGGCGAAGGCGGCUCACUGGCUCAUAUCUGACGUCAGGCGCGACA